UACAGAGGUCUCAAGCGUUGUUCGGAUUCAUUGGGCGUAAAGGGUGCGUAGGCGGCGCGGUAAGUCGGGUGUGAAAAUCUCGGAGCUUAACUCCGAAACUGCAUUCGAUACUGCCGUGCUUGAGGACUGGAGAGGAGACUGGAAUUUACGGUGUAGCGGUGAAAUGCGUAGAUAUCGUAAGGAAGACCAGUGGCGAAGGCGGGUCUCUGGACAGUUCCUGACGCUGAGGCGCGAAGGCCAGGGGAGCAAACGGG
rnacentral:rRNA from 1 species